UGGGGAAUAUUGGACAAUGGAGGAAACUCUGAUCCAGCCAUGCCGCGUGAGUGAAGAAGGCCUUAGGGUUGUAAAGCUCUUUCGCAAGGGAAGAUAAUGACGGUACCUUGACAAGAAGCCCCGGCUAACUUCGUGCCAGCAGCCGCGGUAAUACGAAGGGGGCUAGCGUUGUUCGGAAUUACUGGGCGUAAAGCGCGCGUAGGCGGUCUAAAAAGUCAGAUGUGAAAUCCCGGGGCUUAACCCCGGAACUGCAUUUGAAACUAUUAGACUAGAAUCCGGCAGAGGUUAGUGGAAUUCCUAGUGUAGCGGUGAAAUGCGUAGAGAUUAGGAGGAACACCAGUGGCGAAGGCGACUGACUGGGCCGGUAUUGACGCUGAGGUGCGAAAGCGUGGGGAGCAAACGGGAUUAGAUACCCCCGUAGUCC
rnacentral:rRNA from 1 species